CUUAACAAUUUGUACAUUAAUAAUAAUAAUUUUGAACUUCUUACUUCUGUCCAUUGCAUAAAGAAAAUGCAAAGUUAGGAUAUUUGCCUGAUGCGCUGCUUACUAUUCUCAACUUAGUUUUAUCUUUUAUGAAAUCACCUAUCAUUAAUCAGAUCAUUUUACUGAUUAGUAUAUCAUAACGUAACACAUAACACUGCCUAUUGCAGUCAGCACAUUCCUAAU
rnacentral:lncRNA from 1 species